CCGCGGGCGGUGGGCGGAGGGGGGCGGUGCAGCCAGCCCCGUCCUGCGCGGCCGCGGUUUGCGGCGCUCCGGCGGCGUUUCAGCGGAGAUCUUCCGUGCGCUCCCUGUGUCGUGGACUCUAGAAUUGCAAAGGGUAAGAAAAAAAGUCUGUAAACCACGUUAUUGAGAAACUACAUAUAUAAGCUGCUGCUUAGACAAGAUGCCAGUGAGCCAGCUAAAGCAAAAUAAGCAGUUUCAAGUUCCUAGGUGACACCAGAGAACUUAAUUCUCUUUUCUGUUUCCUAAGUGGGAAGAAUAUACCUGCUCCAAGUCACUUCGGAGGUGGCUGCUGACGUGCCGGAGGUGGGAGAGUGACGCUUUGCUCCGCAGGUGUUUCCUAUUUGGCUUAUCAAACUUCAAAGAUGGUUUUGUUUUCUUCCCUGGAAGCUGUCUGCACUUGCUAGCACAUGGCAUUAAAAAAGUCCUCCUGUGGGCAGAAAGAGCAUUGAAAUGGAAAUCAGUUGAGAAAGAACAAUCAGCUGAGAACAGCAUCACUUCACCUCUUGAAGGAACUGAAUUAAUACAAAAGACCAGCUUUUGCAAACAAAUCUUGCAUAUUGAAGGAAAAGAAAAUGGACGGACGCUAACAGCAGCCCUGGAACAUGAGAUAAACAGAGAUGGCAAAUAA
rnacentral:lncRNA from 1 species